rnacentral:rRNA from 1 species
CCUACGGGAGGCAGCAGCAAGGAAUUUUGCACAAUCGACACAAGUCGGAUGCAGCAACGCCGCGUGGGGGAUGAAGGCUCUCGGGUUGUAAACCCCUUUUGCGAGGGAAGAAGAUCUGACGGUACCUCGCGAAUAAGUCACGGCUAACUACGUGCCAGCAGCCGCGGUAAUACGUAGGUGGCGAACGUUGUCCGGAUUCACUGGGCGUAAAGCGCGCGCAGGCGGACUGAUAAGUCAGAGGUGAAAUCUCCCGGCUCAACUGGGAGGGGCCCUUUGAUACUGUCAGUCUUGAGGCACCUAGAGGAGAGUGGAAUUCCCGGUGUAGUGGUGGAAUGCGUAGAUAUCGGGAGGAACACCAGUGGCGAAAGCGACUCUCUGGGGGUGACCUGACGCUGAGGCGCGAAAGCGUGGGGAGCAAACGGGGAUUAGAUACCCCGGUAGUCCACGCCGUAAACGAUGAGUACUAGCUGUCUGGGGUAUCGACUCCCUGGGUAGCGAAGCUAACGCGAUAAGUACUCCGCCUGGGGACUACGACCGCAAGGUUAAAACCUUAAUGAAUUGACGG